UACGAAGGGGGCUAGCGUUGCUCGGAAUCACUGGGCGUAAAGCGCACGUAGGCGGAUUGUUAAGUCAGGGGUGAAAUCCUGGAGCUCAACUCCAGAACUGCCUUUGAUACUGACGAUCUCGAGUCCGGGAGAGGUGAGUGGGAACUGCGAGUGUAGAGGUGAAAUUCGUAGAUAUUCGCAAGAACACCAGUGGCGAAGGCGGCUCACUGGCCCGGUACUGACGCUGAGGUGCGAAAGCGUGGGGAGCAAACAGGG
rnacentral:rRNA from 1 species